AAUAAAAAACAGGACAAGAAUCCAAAGAAGUCCGAAUACUGGGUUUUUCGCCAUUUUUUUCUCUUUUCGUUUAUUUUUGUUUUUACUUUCUUUCUUGAAUAUUCU
rnacentral:ribozyme from 12 species